ensembl:lncRNA
GGGUCUGCUUGCGCCUCAACCGCCCGCGGUGCUGAGGGGGCGCGGAGGGGCCGGGCCCGCUGCUCUCAGGCGUCCCCGAAUCGUACUGCGGGUGCGCGCGGCUGUACAGAACGUGGAAGUAUGGCUGUGUGCUGCGGUAUGUCGCGGAGCGCAACCCCUGCCCGGCGGGGCGUCGGCUGCUGCUCGCCCUGAGGCGCUCAGCUGGCGGGAGCCCGAGGGCCGCCCCUCCGCUGCCGCUGCCCCGGGGACGACCCUGGAGGCGGCGUUCCUCUUUCCACAGCCGCCCACCGGCCCGGUCCUGGCCGCCGUGCGCUCCGUGUCACCUCAGGGCUGGGCCCAAACGCGGCUGCAGCGCUGUCAGCCCAGCAGCACGUCUGUGUGCAGCGCCCGGGCGGCUCUCACUGCUGGUCCCCGGGUCCUUAGGAAUCCUCUGAGGACACCUCUACGUCCCGCUGCGUUCAGGGCUUUCCCAGCCAAACACAUAUUGAGUAUCAGUGUCAGACUGAAGAUGGAGAUCGUGGAUGAUUCUCCUUAGCUUUUUUUAUAUCUUUUUUCAUCCUUUUCCUUUUAUCUCCGCAAUCUAAGCAAAUCUCGUGACUACUGGAGGUCUGAGUCAUGGCACUCCAAUGAUUACAGCGAUAACUGCUGAACAGAAAAGCAUUUGUGUAUUUAUAAAAAAAAUGCUUCAGCUUAUCUCCUGGUAUCUGAUGUUCUUGUAAGAUCAGCUCAAGGCAGAUAAUUACACACAAGGCUUUAGGGUUGCCAUCUAUUUUUUUUUUUUUUUCAGAUCACACAUUGCAAAGAAAAAAAAAGGUUAGUUUUCAGCUAGCUUCAACGUCUCCUUGAUGUGAACGUACUCCAGUGGGGUGCAAACCAAAGCGUUAAAGAAAUAUUGUUUCUUAGAACUCUGUUGAGCGUGGGCUCCUGUCACUAAUGUUGCAGUAACGUAAACAGGACCGUGGUGAGGCCCUCUGUGUCUGAGUAACACAAGUACGUGCAGCAUCUUCUGUGUCAGUGUCUGCUGUGGUUUGCCUCCCGACAAAAGGAUAUUCAGGAUUUGCUGGUGCUCUGCUUCAGAAGGACCAUUCUGUAUAGGAUGUAGCAUCUCACUACCACAUAGUUCACUGCUGCUGGGCACGCCCUGCCCUCAGACCAGGCCGUGGCAUAAGCUCUGCUCACCUCGCCUGCUCAAAUAAAUCUCCGGUAGGCAUCAGCAGCAACCAGGAAAUUUCAAACACAAUUUUGUCAGAAUCAAAUCUUAGAAUAUGAAAUGGAAUAAUGUUACUGAGAUGUCCAGUUUGCCACAUCUCACUAGGGCUGGAGAGACUCCUGUGGAAGAAUUCCUCAAUUGCCUGCCUCUCAUCAAACAAGAUAAGCUAGACAAGACAUUUCCUUCAUUGCAAAGGAACUGUUUAAACCAAGUGUUUUAAAGAGACCAUUCUGAAGUUUAAGAUUAUGGAUUUGCCUGAGGGGCUUUAUGCAGCAGCUGAGGAACACUAUAAAGCAUCUAAAACUCAGGCCCAGACUGGUCAUCACUGAGAUACCUGUGUCUACAAAGGGCUAGCUCCUGCAUGAAGAUACUUUUUAAUCUGUAGCAUCUUCACUAUACAGAAGACAAUGUACUUUUAUAGGUUAAAUGUUAAUGAUGUGACUCAUUAAAUUCUGUGCUUGAAAUCUUCUUGGUACAUCAUCAAAAGCUGUACAUGAUUCAAACCAGCAGAUGCGGAUUACUGCUUUGCUUAGAUGCAGUUUCUAUCUAUUUGGGAUAGAAAGAAGUGGUAAAUGUUGUUUAGCACCAAACUACUUUCUGCUUGCAAACCUAAUGAUACAGGAAGCACAGGUUUAAAAAAAAAUCCAUUAAAAUAAACAAUUGGUGAUAACUGGAGCUUUGACUCUGGUUAUCUUUCAUACACACACAGAAGUUUGUCAUAGAAUACCUUCCCCACACUGCCACCUAAUGUUUAACAGGAGUCCUACUAAUACUUUAGGCAUUAAGUCUAAAAUGC